rnacentral:rRNA from 1 species
UGGACCUCAGCUCAGGCGUGACUACCCGCUGAAUUUAAGCAUAUCAAUAAGCGGAGGAAAAGAAACCAACAGGGAUUCCCCCAGUAACGGCGAGCGAAGCGGGAAUAGCUCGAGCCUUAAAUCUCCGGCGCACAGCCGGCGAAUUGUAGCCGAGAGAAGCACUC